AACGAACGCUGGCGGCAUGCCUAACACAUGCAAGUCGAACGAGACCUUCGGUUCUAGUGGCGCACGGGUGCGUAACGCGUGGGAACCUGCCCUUAGGUUCGGCAUAACUCCCCGAAAGGGGUGCUAAUACCGGAUAAUGUCUUCGGACCAACGAUUUAUCGCCUUUGGAUGGGCCCGCGUUGGAUUCGCUAGUUGGUAGGGUAAAAGCCUACCAAGGCGACGAUCCAUAGCUGGUCUGAGAGGAUGAUCAGCCACACUGGGACUGAGACACGGCCCAGACUCCUACGGGAGGCAGCAGUGGGGAAUAUUGGACAAUGGGCGAAAGACUGAGCCAGCAAUGCCGCGUGAGUGAUGAAGGACUUAGGGUUGUAAAGCUCGUUUACACGGGAUGAUAAUGACAGUACCGGGAGAAUAAGCUCCGGCUAACUCCGUG
rnacentral:rRNA from 1 species